rnacentral:tRNA from 1 species
GGGUUAGUGGUCUAGUGGUAUGAUUCUCGCUUAGGGUGGGAGAGGUCCCGGGUUCAAUUCCCGGCUAAUCCC